UACGUAGGCAGCAAGCGUUGUUCGGAAUUACUGGGCGUAAAGAGUGUGUAGGCGGUGCUCUAAGUCUGUUGUGAAAUCUCCGGGCUUAACCCGGAAACUGCCGUUGAUACUAUCUGUCUUGAAUAUAGUGGAGGUGAGCGGAAUAUGUCAUGUAGCGGUGAAAUGCUUAGAUAUGACAUAGAACACCCAUUGCGAAGGCAGCUCGCUACACUAUCAUUGACACUGAGGCACGAAAGCGUGGGGAUCAAACAGG
rnacentral:rRNA from 1 species